GGACUACUGGGGUAUCUAAUCCCGUUCGCUCCCCUGGCUUUCGCGUCUCAGCGUCAGGCGGGGUCCAGGCGCCCGCUUUCGCCACGGGCGUUCCUUCCGAUCUCAACGCAUUUCACCGCUCCACCGGAAGUUCCGGCGCCCCCUACCCCCCUCCAGCCCGGUCGUAUCCCCGCCCGUUCCCCGGUUGAGCCGGGGGAUUUCAGCAGGAGACGUGCCGGGCCGCCUACACGCGCUUUAAGCCCAGUGAUUCCGAAUAACGUUCGCACGGUUCGUCUUACCGCGGCGGCUGGCAC
rnacentral:rRNA from 3 species